rnacentral:rRNA from 1 species
UACGUAGGGUGCGAGCGUUUGUCCGGAAUUAUUGGGCGUAAAGGGCUCGUAGGCGGUCUGUCACGUCGGGAGUGAAAACUCAGGGCUUAACCCUGAGCCUGCUUCCGAUACGGGCAGACUAGAGGUAUGCAGGGGAGAAUGGAAUUCCUGGUGUAGCGGUGAAAUGCGCAGAUAUCAGGAGGAACACCAGUGGCGAAGGCGGUUCUCUGGGCAUUACCUGACGCUGAGGAGCGAAAGUGUGGGGAGUGAACAGG